AGUGGGGGGGAACAGGAAGUUCCGGUAGGCGCACACCAUUCUUUAGAAUAAGGAAAACGCAAGAACUGUGCUGUCCUUUUCUCUUUAUUACUACAGGCUGACUCAGGUCAAGUCAACAGUGAAUACAAACCCAGCCCUCCUCUCUCCUUCCACACUGAGUCCAAACCUACAGUCACUGGGUCCUGAUUGUGACAGUGGAGCCCAGUUUGCACUGCAGGAUCCAGAGAUGGCAUCAGUGAAGCUGGAAGACUGCAGUCAAACACUGGAGCUGAAUGUCAACAUUAAAGAUGAAGAAGAGGAGGAGGAGAUUGGAGACUAUGUUGAGACAUUCUCUACAUCCAGAGAGCAACAGCAGGAAGAUCACAGAGCUAAGAGGUCUCACCACUGCCCACAUUGUGAGGAG